GGUAGUAAAAGUCGUAACAAGGUUUCCGUAGGUGAACCUGCGGAAGGAUCAUUAACAAAUCCAUUGGGUCGUCGCAAGACGGCCUUAUAUUCACCCGCUAUGGGCUUCGGCCUAUUUCGGUCCUUGACCUUGGUCAGGGCGGUUGUUGACUCGAAAGAGUUAGCAACCACAAUUAACACGUUUGUUGGUUUGACAGAGUUGGUUACAAAUUAUAUAAUGACAACUUUUAACAAUGGAUCUCUUGGCUCUU
rnacentral:misc_RNA from 1 species